GGAAAAUAUUCACAUUUUUAACAUGCAGAUAUAAUCAAUAUAUACUGUAGGUCUAAUCUCGUGUAAUGGAAUGUAUUUGCAAAUAGAAUGUUAAAAAGCUUUACAUUUUUAUAUUACUCCCUUUGUUUAAUAAUAAAUAGAUUGUAUACAUGCUUUUCAUAUUUCUAUAUCCCAGGUGUAUUGGGAAUGGCAGAACCUGUUAAUAGAGAAAUACAUACUGCACAGUGCAUCAAUCACAGCAUGAUAUGCCUUGAUUUUGACCCAUGCAUGGAACACGCCUCUGGCACUGUAAAUG